UACGGCGGCCAUAGCGUGGGAGAAACGCCCGGACCCAUACCGAACCCGGAAGCUAAGCCCCACAGCGCCCAUGGUACUGCACUCGGAAGGGUGUGGGAGAGUAGGACACCGCCGGAC
rfam:Arthrobacter sp. IHBB 11108, complete genome.